rnacentral:rRNA from 1 species
UACAGAGGGGGCAAGCGUUAUUCGGAAUUAUUGGGCGUAAAGGGCGCGUAGGCGGCCAUUCAAGUGACGGGUGAAAGCCCUCGGCUUAACCGAGGAACUGCCUGUCAGACUGGAUGGCUUGAGACCGGGGGAGGAGAGUGGAAUUCCCAGUGUAGCGGUGAAAUGCGUAGAUAUUGGGAGGAACACCAGUGGCGAAGGCGGCUCACUGGACCGGAACUGACGCUGAGGCGCGAAAGCGUGGGGAGCAAACAGG